rnacentral:tRNA from 1 species
GUCGGUGUGUCCGAGUGGUUAAGGAGACAGACUAGAAAUCUGUUGGGCUCUGCCCGCACAGGUUCAAAUCCUGUCGCCAACG